GACGAACGCUGGCGGCGUGCUUAACACAUGCAAGUCGAACGGAAAGGCCCUGCUUUUGUGGGGUGCUCGAGUGGCGAACGGGUGAGUAACACGUGAGUAACCUGCCCUUGACUUUGGGAUAACUUCAGGAAACUGGGGCUAAUACCGGAUAGGAGCUCCUGCUGCAUGGUGGGGGUUGGAAAGUUUCGGCGGUUGGGGAUGGACUCGCGGCUUAUCAGCUUGUUGGUGGGGUAGUGGCUUACCAAGGCUUUGACGGGUAGCCGGCCUGAGAGGGUGACCGGCCACAUUGGGACUGAGGUACGGCCCAGACGCCUACGGGAGGCAGCAGUGGGGAAUAUUGCACAAUGGGGGGAAGCCUGAUGCAGCAACGCCGCGUGCGGGAUGACGGCUUUCGGGUUGUAAACAGCUUUCGCCUGUGACGAAGCGUGAGUGACGGUAAUGGGUAAAGAAGCACCGGCUAACUACGUG
rnacentral:rRNA from 1 species